UACGUAGGGAGCAAGCGUUGUCCGGAAUCAUUGGGCGUAAAGAGCGUGUAGGCGGUCCGGUAAGUCGGCUGUGAAAGUCCAGGGCUCAACCCUGGGAUGCCGGUCGAUACUGCCGGACUAGAGUUCGGAAGAGGCGAGUGGAAUUCCCGGUGUAGCGGUGAAAUGCGCAGAUAUCGGGAGGAACACCUAUGGCGAAGGCAGCUCGCUGGGACGUUACUGACGCUGGAGACGCGAAAGCGUGGGGAGCAAACAGG
rnacentral:rRNA from 1 species